rnacentral:siRNA from 1 species
UUGGUUAGUAUUGGUGAAUUGUAA